ACUUGGAAUUUUUUUCUUAAGACCAAACUUGUGAAUUUUAUAUUUUAAGAAGUUUUUUUAUCUUAAAUAUAAAAAUUCUAAACAUUAAAAUUCACAGGCUGAAGCUGACCCAUCCAAUCGUUUUCUAUUGUGAAUCCCGUCUCCACUGGAUCCAAGUUGCACAAUUGCCCCGUUUGCUUUCUUUCUGACGGGAGUUGAAUCAAAUUACGAACAGGCAAGGUGAAUUUCCGGAUAAGAAACUUGAAACUUUAUAGUUUGGAAUAAUAAUUCCCGUAUUGAUCAGAAAGCAUUAGAGUGGGAGUUUUUUAAGAAACUACGAGUAGUUAAUUCAAUAAAAGAUUAAUAAUCUUUCAGUACUAAAAAUUCUCAACGCUUCUUAUAAAAAACGAGUUUAUGCUAAACUCCCCCUGUUAUUUGUUAAUGUCCUUGAGUCCUUUCAUAAAUUCCUAUGACAAAACUGCUGUGGAGCAAGAACACAUUGCAAAAACUGCAGUAGAAGUAUUUGAUCAAAGAAGAGUAUUUCAUCUUUCGAAUCAGGCAUAUGCACAAGUUUGUUCUCAAAUCAUCAUUUCAAUUGUAAAGAAUGAAAAGGCAUUUGGCCCUCUGAAAAGUUUAAAGGCCCAAAUUCUUGGUGCUUCUAUAUCGUGAAAAAAUGUAUUUUAGAUAAAAUUGAUCAAUUGAUCUGAAAGAAUACUACUAAUCAUUAAGUAUAUCUAAUACUGGUUUUGCUUAAAUGUUGCUUUACUUCUUACAGUAUGUUUAAUGUUUGUUUCAUGUUAAUCAAAAUUUAGAGAUUUAGGCUUUUAUGCUUUAGGCUAAUUAUUGAGUAAAGAUUUGGUAAUUAUAAAGAAAAUAGAACUAUGGUCCUCGGGCUAUUUACAAAUAUCAAUUUGGUAGGUACAACAGAUCUACUGGUCGAAUGAAAAAUUUAUCACUUGAAGUUGGAAUUUUCAUACUUCCACGCCCCCCCAAAAUUAGCAACUUGUUUUCGUCCCUGAAUUGAAUAGUGUCAUAUUUCGGUGGAAGAGCUCCAGCAUUGGCAGCACCAUUAAUUGCUUCUUCAAAUGAAAGUGGAGGGUCAUUUGUCAAUUAAAACGCACCAACAGCGUUCCUUGAGUCCAUGAAAACGACCCCUUCUUUUGUGGCAUCUGAAUAUGAAGGUGAUGCAUCUGCAGAAAAUCAAUAACUUCUGUUAGAUUAAGAAUCGAAUUGACAGCUGGAGCGUUGGUUUCUACAACUAAUGGCAGAAGAAGGGAAGCACUUGUCGGAGCAGAUAUUUCAAGAGCAUUUAUAAAAACACAUUGUUGGAAUAAAUCUGUAUUAGACAAAAACAGAGGAACUUCUAAGAAAGAGGUCAUAAAAUCGUAAGAAUAAUGUAGGGGAGAGUAGAGUAGAGUAGAGUAGAGUAGAGUAGAGUAGAGUAGAGUAGAGUAGAGUAGAGUAGAGUAGAGUAGAGUAGAGUAGAGUAGAGUAGAGUAGAGUAGAGUAGAGUAAAGUAGAGUAGAUUAGAGUAGAGUAGAGUAGAGAAGAGAAAAGUAGAGAAAAGUAGAGUAGAGUAGAGUAGAGUUGAGUAGAGUAGAGUAGCGCAGAGUAGAUUAGAGUAGAGUAGAGUAGAGUAGAGUAGAGUAGAGAAGAGUAGAUUAGAGUAGAGUAGUGUAGUGAUUUUAAUAUUGUAAAUUAGGCCAUAUUCCUACAUCAUGCCAUCACCAUGACAUCCACCUACGUCAUUCACAGCAUCACCUAGCACAGGACAUUCCCUUCAGCAUUGUACUCACAUUCACACAUCUAUGUCAUGCUGACUUCUUCCCAAGCCUAGAUCUUUCCUUCUCCAUUGCAUCAUCAUUACAUCAUCACAGCACAUCAUUACUCAGCACAUUUAUUUUGUAUAUAAGUAUGUUAAUUUGUAUGUAAUUCAGUCAGUCAGUCAAGUUCAGUUCAGAUCAGAGUUAUACAGCAAUACACUGCCUCUCUCACUGGCUCCGUGUUCUCUGCACGUUAAAUAAGAUUCGUCGAAGCGAACACCAACGAUGGAAAGUCACAAGAUAUGAUAGGAACCAUUGCAAUUCUUGUCACAUAAUAGCGUUCCUAUAAUGGUGACCACGACGUGACCCGCAAAUCCAUCGUUGGUCAAUUCUACUUCAACUACAACAUCAACUCUUCGAUGGCAUCAGACACAUCAAGUUUUUCAUCAACAAGGAUUCGUCAACAUCAACUCAGCUUCACACACACAACCCAGCUCAUUUGGAUUUAUCGACAAUCAUCAGCACUCGACUCACCGUAGUGCUCUUCAACACAAGCAACAAGCACUCGACUCACCGUAGUGCCCUCAACGCAUCGCAGCACUCGACUCACCGUAGUGCCCUCAAACACAUCGCAGCACUCGACUCACCGUAGUGCCCUCAAACGCAUCGCAGCACUCGACUCACCGUAGUGCUUCCACGCAACAUUAACGAUCAAUAACUCCUCAACAAACUGGUUCCUGGUCAUCCAACGUAAAAACUUCGCACAAAUCUCCCAAAUCACGAACAGAAGAAAACACCGGCUACGUCUCGAACUCUCGUCGAUUUAUAACGGUUGGACAUUUAAAUUUCGAACAAUUAAUAUUUUAUCGCAAUUCACUCAUAUUUUUAAUUCAUCGAUUUUACAAUAUUAAAAUUUAUUCCUAGUUCUUUUCCCUUGCGUAUCGAAUGCUUCACAACCGCUUGCAUUCUAAGGGGGGAGCUAUUGUAGUGAUUUUAAUAUUGUAAAUUAGGCCAUAUUCCUACAUCAUGCCAUCACCAUGACAUCCACCUACGUCAUUCACAGCAUCACCUAGCACAGGACAUUCCCUUCAGCAUUGUACUCACAUUCACACAUCUAUGUCAUGCUGACUUCUUCCCAAGCCUAGAUCUUUCCUUCUCCAUUGCAUCAUCAUUACAUCAUCACAGCACAUCAUUACUCAGCACAUUUAUUUUGUAUAUAAGUAUGUUAAUUUGUAUGUAAUUCAGUCAGUCAGUCAAGUUCAGUUCAGAUCAGAGUUAUACAGCAAUA